rnacentral:misc_RNA from 1 species
AGCAGCCGCGGUAAUUCCAGCUCCAAUAGCGUAUAUUAAAGUUGUUGCAGUUAAAAAGCUCGUAGUUGAAUUUCGGGAUCAGUUGGUCGGUCGUGCCUCGGUACGUACUGGUCAAAUUGAUUCCUACCUUCUGACGAACCACGAUGUCAUUAAUUUGGUGUCGCGGGAAAUCAGGACUGUUACUUUGAAAAAUUAGAGUGUUUAAAGCAGGCUCGCGCUUGAAUACAUUAGCAUGGAAUAAUGAAAUAGGACGUUUGAUUCUAUUUUGUUGGUUUCUAGGAUCGACGUAAUGAUUAAUAGGGAUAGUUGGGGGCAUUAGUAUUCAAUUGUCAGAGGUGAAAUUCUUGGAUUUAUUGAGGACUAACUACUGCGAAAGCAUUUGCCAAGGAUGUUUUCAUUAAUCAAGAACGAAAGUUAGGGGAUCGAAGACGAUCAGAUACCGUCGUAGUCUUAACCAUAAACUAUGCCGACUAGGGAUCGGAUGAUGUUAAUUUUUAAUGUACUCAUUCGGCGCCUUAAC